CCGACGGUGAGGGGCGAAAGCUGGGGGCACGAACCGGAUUAGAUACCCGGGUAGUCCCAGCCGUAAACGAUGCUCGCUAGGUGUCUGGGAUGGUGCGACCGUUUCAGGUGCCGCAGGGAAGCCGUGAAGCGAGCCACCUGGGAAGUACGGCCGCAAGGCUGAAACUUAAAGGAAUUGGCGGGGGAGCACUACAACGGGUGGAGCCUGCGGUUUAAUUGGACUCAACGCCGGAAAACUCACCUGGGGC
rnacentral:rRNA from 1 species